rnacentral:lncRNA from 1 species
AUGGAGGCAAUCUCCACAUCUGGUCUUAGAUUGACAGAACUGAAUCUCUACGACAUAACGUUGUCAUGUGGAUCACAUGGGCCUCCAGCCCUCCCAGGUUUAGGCUGCAGACAAGUAGUUAAUGAACAGGUCAAGUGCCUGGAGCACCCUUCUAAGACUGCAUUCAGUCAUUACCAAGGUGAGCAUUUUUAUGCAUCCAUUGAUUCAUCAACUCUGAAUAUUAAAUACCCAGCACUCCCUCUUCUCCUGACCUUUUUUGUGCUUACUGUCUACAGAGUCUUGGUUGUGUUCACUGUCUCUAUGUUCUAUGCCUCCUUGUUGUCUGAAAUCCUGACCAGUCAAGCAGGAUUCAUAUAUCACCUGACCACUUGUCAUCUCCACUUGAAUUUCUCACCAACAUCUCAAACAAAACAUGUCUCAAAGUUAGAUCAUAGUCAUCUCCUUCCCUGCAAAAACUAUUUUGCUCCAGUGACUCUAGGUCAGUUGAAAGCACCACUACUCAUCUAAGUGUUUAAUCCAAAAGUCUAAUUCAUCCUUACCUCCUCUCUUUUCCUCAUCCCAUACACAAUCAAACACCCAGGUCUGUUGUUUACGUUUUCCUUCUAUUGCCAGAACAUGUUUCCUUCUUUCUCUUCUCAUUACUAAAAGCUAUUACUGAAAUAAUGUUUUAAAAAAGUACAUACACUGUUUCUUAAAAUCAUUUGCUUAGGGAACCCUGGGUGGCACAGCGGUUUGGCGCCUGCCUUUGGCCCAGGGUGCGGUCCUGGAGACGUGGGAUCGAAUCCCAUGUCGGGCUCCUGGUGCAUGGAGCCUGCUUCUCCCUCUGCCUGUGUCUCUGCCUCUCUCUCUGUGUGUGACUAUCAUAAAUAAAUUUUAAAAAAAUAAAAAAAAUCA